rnacentral:misc_RNA from 1 species
UGCGGCUGGAUCCCCUCCUUUCUGGAGAUCUCGAGUAAGCGACGGCUUGCCGUCUGCGGAAAGAGCUCCGGUGUCGCCCGCACUCGUCCACGAUCCGUCGUUCCAUUUAUUUCUUUGCUGAUGCGGUGAGCAGUCAGCAGUGAGUGGUGAGCAGGUACUGCUUACUACUUACUGCUCACUGCUGGACUCGUGACGCUUCUUGACAUUCGGAAGGUCCGGAAGGGGCCGAAGCCUUCCUCCGAAUGGCGGUCGCGCAUUAAUGGUGAAGAAUCCACACCCUAUAAAUUUGGAAUGAGAGGCCUCUCAAGGCCUCCUUAUCUCCGUAAUAUAUCUCAGAUCUAACCCCAUAAAGCGCACCGGGGAUGCCCUGGGAUCUCAGGGGCGAUGAAAGACAUGAUAAACUGCGAUAAACCCGGGGGAGCUGCACAUUAACUGUGAUCUCUGGAUGUCCCAAAUGGGGAAAACCCGAAACCCCAUUGAAUUUUCGGGCGCCCGGAAGUCUAACAUAUUGGAGAAGCUCCCACGCCCUGGAAGGGCAAACCUGAGUAUUCUCUAAGGGCACCCCAAAAAGCUUGGGGGAAACAUGGGGCUAAACGGUUUCCCGGGGGGAAAUUGUUUUCCCCUCCCAAUUUCCCCCAACAUUAUAAGCCGGGAAACAAAAAGUGGAAACCCCGGGGGGCCCAAGGGGGGGGGUACCCCCCCUUAUUUGGGUGUGGGCCCCGGGCCCCUUUUUCAGGGGGGAAAACGUGUUGGGCCCU